UACGGAGGGGGCUAGCGUUGUUCGGAAUUACUGGGCGUAAAGGGCUCGUAGGCGGCCAACUAAGUCAGACGUGAAAUCCCCAGGCUCAACCUGGGAACUGCGUCUGAUACUGGAUGGCUUGAAUUCGGGAGAGGGAUGCAGAAUUCCAGGUGUAGCGGUGAAAUGCGUAGAUAUCGAGAGGAACACCUGCGGCGAAGGCGGGUUGCUGGGCUGACACUGACGCUGAGGCGCGAAAGCCAGGGGAGCGAACGGG
rnacentral:rRNA from 1 species